rnacentral:misc_RNA from 1 species
UCCGGUUUGUCACCGGCAGUCCCACUAGAGUGCCCAACCGAAUGUAGCAACUAGUGGCAAGGGUUGCGCUCGUUGCGGGACUUAACCCAACAUCUCACGACACGAGCUGACGGCAGCCAUGCACCACCUGUGCACGAGCCCCGAAGGGCUGCCGUGUUUCCACGACAUUCCCGUGCAUGUCAAGCCUUGGUAAGGUUCUUCGCGUUGCGUCGAAUUAAACCACAUGCUCCGCUGCUUGUGCGGGCCCCCGUCAAUUCCUUUGAGUUUUAGCCUUGCGGCCGUACUCCCCAGGCGGGGCACUUAAUGCGUUAGCUACGGCACCGCAGGGGUCGAUACCCGCGACACCUAGUGCCCAUCGUUUACGGCGUGGACUAC